rnacentral:sRNA from 1 species
AAGUCGUAACAAGGUUUCCGUAGGUGAACCUGCGGAAGGAUCAUUCAUAAUAAGUGUUUUAUGGCACUUUUUAAAUCCAUAUCCACCUUGCGUGCAAUGUCAGUUGUUCUCUCUUUUGAGAAUGACCAAACAUCAACUUAUUCUUUAACUCUUUGUCUGAAAAAUAUUAUGAAUAAAAUAAUUCAAAAUACAACUUUCAACAACGGAUCUCUUGGCUCUCGCAUCGAUGAAGAACGCAGCGAAAUGCGAUACGUAAUGUGAAUUGCAGAAUUCAGUGAAUCAUCGAAUCUUUGAACGCAUAUUGCGCUCUUUGGUAUUCCGAAGAGCAUGCUUGUUUGAGUAUCAGUAAACACCUCAAAGACUUCAAUUUGUUUUGAAUGGCUUUGGACUUGAGCAAUCCCAACACCAGUCUUUACGAUCGGUGGAGGGUUGCUUGAAAUGCAGGUGCAGCUGGACAUUCUCCUGAGCUAAAAGCAUAUUUAUUUAGUCCCGUCAAACGGAUUAUUACUUUUGCUGCAGCUAACAUAAAGGGAGUUUGACCGUAUUGGCUGACUGAUGCAGGAUUUCACAAGGGUCGGCAACGAUUCUUGUAAAACUCGAUCUCAAAUCAAGUAAGACUACCCGCUGAACUUAAGCAUAUCAAUAAGCGGAGGAAAAGAAACUAACAAGGAUUCCCCUAGUAACGGCGAGUGAAGCGGGAUGAGCUCAAAUUUAAAAUCUGGCUGGUUUACUAGUCCGAAUUGUAGUUUAUAGAAGCGUUUUCGGUGGCAGCCUGGGUAUAAGUCCUUUGGAAUAGGGUAUCAUAGAGGGUGAGAAUCCCGUCUUUGACUCAGUGCAUGCUACUAUGUGAUACGUUUUCAAA